rnacentral:lncRNA from 1 species
ACCGGCGACAGCUGGUCGACCAGGUGGUGGACGUACGCGGACGCUAAUUUCCCGUUACAGGCGGCGGAGGUGGACCACAGUAUUGGUUUUUUGCCUCCCGGCCCCUUCACAGUCGAAGCGGCAGACCCUUCUUCCAGAUAUCCCUGUGCCAGUCUCCAGUCUCGGGCCUUCUGCUUUCUGGACUUCCGUCAACUGGGAGGAGACGAAAGUAAUUUCCGCCAGAGGCGGUAGACUUUUCCGACACGUGACUUCCGUCGGUAAACGAGAACCGGUCACGUGUCGGGACACGUCGACCCGAGGAGAAUUCACCAGCCGUUCGAGGCACACGAGAUACAAGAGAUUAUCGUCGCUUAGAAGAAAAGGCUAAUGUUCCGUUUCCGGAAUCGUUCCAAGACCGGAUAAUCGGCACGAAAGUACGUAACUUAGUUUUGCAGCUUAACUACGCCUCAGUCUUUUUUUUAUAAACGCUCGGGUUUAUCCGAUUUUCCGGCCAAAUCGAAGAAAAGGAUUAGCGUUAACGCGUUUUCGUAAAUCGAACGUGAUUGUUCCGUUGUUAAUCUGAUUCUCGUAUUACUUUCUGGACGAGUCUGGUGAAAACUGGGUCGGCUGGCUUUUGACCUUUCGUCGCAGCUAGCGCCACCAGGAAAGUCGGCACUCUUUUACGGGGAGACGGUAGAUGUUCGGUAUUUACGUGCAGCAGCUUUCCGCACGCGUUCGGAUCGCGGAGCGGUAGGUCAGCGUUUGCUCGCGACGCGCGACUCGCAUCGUAGCGGCAGCGCGAGAAAAACCAUUUUCGUAAGAACUUAUUUGACAUACCUGCUUAUAAAAAAAAACACGUGGAAUUUCUCCAGGACACGCAUCGGGCCUUACCGACGCGAGAAAAAAACCCUCAUUACAGCUGCCGGAAAAAAGCGUCCAGCGGCCAUUGUUCUGGCUGACUACUGGACUGUGCAGUCUCCGCCUCCACCUAUGACUGCAUUCUUCGACCGGACGAAUCUGCUUACUUUCUACCCUUCUACGGCCCGAAGUGUCCGAUAAAAUGUCUAGAGCAUUGUCUAGACUCGUUCCAUAGUUUCCAUUUCGUAGUUUUAAUUUCGUCAGAAAAAAAAAUUCCGCUUUUUUUUUCCUUAUAAAAGUUGUUUGCUUCUCUAUAAGAAAAUUCUUGUGCGGCAAAAAAAUAAAAAAAAAUAAAAAAAAUAUUGCCAAGUAUCGAGCCGAUGUCGUAAACGGGACAAUGCGGACUAGACGGCGCCAUUGUCUCGGAAGUCACGCGAUUUCAACUCUGUUCUAGCUUAUGAACGGGGUCUAUUGGGUUCCUCUCAUUCUGAUUCUCGAUUGUUUCUCUUCUUUUGCAAGAGUCUUUGUCGAGCCAUCCGAACAUCCUUUAGACUCUGUAGAAAUUAAACUGGUAGCCUUGAGUCCGCCGUUUUGUAGAUUAAGAGCCAUCAGGCAAGAAAGACAUUCCGGAAUUUUUUCCAUUUGUACUCCACAUUAUGUGAAAUGUUAAAGGUGAGGAAAUGAGUUGUUUGGAUGAUAAUCUGUUUCAAUGCAUUUGGAUAAAUUUGUCGUCCAAUCCAACAACACAGAAUGCUACAGGAAUUCGGGAUGUUCAAAUGCAAACAUUUAAUGGACGGGAAACAGUAAUUUUUAUCUCAGAAUUCCAAACGAAAAAAUCUCCAAUUUCUUAUCGAUAUUCAAUCAAAUUGAUUAGAAGCAAUUCAAUAAUUUUUUUGCUUGUUUUUCAAAUCUGAGUGUGAUUUUCUACUAGAACAGAC